rnacentral:rRNA from 1 species
GCCUACGGGGGGCAGCAGUGAGGAAUAUUGGUCAGUGGGCGCGAGCCUGAACCAGCCAAGUCGCGUGAGGGAAGACGGUCCUAUGGAUUGUAAACCUCUUUUGUCGGGGAGCAAAAGACGCCACGUGUGGCGUUCCGAGAGUACCCGAAGAAAAAGCAUCGGCUAACUCCGUGCCAGCAGCCGCGGUAAUACGGAGGAUGCGAGCGUUAUCCGGAUUUAUUGGGUUUAAAGGGUGCGCAGGCGGAAGAUCAAGUCAGCGGUAAAAUUGAGAGGCUCAACCUCUUCGAGCCGUUGAAACUGGUUUU